rnacentral:misc_RNA from 1 species
GCAUAAACGUUCCGGGAAGCAACAGUCGGAAUCGUUGUCUAACAAGAUCUAUAGAUUCAGAGGGGUGUUGUUGCUUACCUCUCUUUCUCUUUUCUUAAUCGCCUUUGUUCUUUAUCUCAUGCCGGCCCGUGAGGAUUACUCCUUCAACCACCGCAAAGUUUCCCCUGAUCACAGGUCUUCUUCUUCCAAGACUUCUUUUGCUGUUAUUUUUGAUGCUGGUAGCUCUGGGAGUCGUGUCCAUGUCUUUUGCUUUGAUCAUAAUCUCGAUCUCCUCCCCGUUGGCAAGGAUAUCGAACUUUUCGAACAACUUAAACCAGGACUGAGUGCAUAUGCUGACAGCCCCAAGGAUGCUGCAGCAUCUCUAAUUUCCCUCUUGGACAAAGCUCAAAACGUG